ACGUGGGCUUUAGCGCGAGCUGGGCGGUCGGCCCGGUCCCACCGAACUGCAUAGGGCCGUGUAGCCGGGGGAAGUCAGCCCCCUGCUCUGAGAAGCAGACUCUGCAUCUGUAAAAGGCUAAGCGUGCCCACUGGGGCCUGUGGUCAGGAUUGGCUGCAGUGAGGUCCGCAAAGCCCCUACCGCAUCCUGCGCCUUCGUUAGGGUGAGCAGUCAUGGGGACUCGCAUUGUGCCACCACGUAGCGGGUCUCACUGGGUCCGCUUGUCUGCUCGAGGAGACAGCCGGUGAGGACGGGAGCUGGCCUGCUUUGCCCAGGCUGUAACCUCAGCCUCCGCCCAUACCCACAGAGAAAAAGUAGUCAUAAUACAAAAGAAAAAUGGACAAUGCUUGGAUACCAUAAUAAAAAUUAACACUACCAACAAGGAGCAUGGACAUUGUGUGGCUUCAGAUGUAAUGUGAAGGACAACCUCCGUUGAAAAGGGCAACUGCUGUAGUAUUCUAAUCUGGAAUGCAUCACCUAAUCCUAUCAUAAGAAGACAUUAGGAAAAAAAAAAUAAAGAUAAUUCCAUUUUUUUA
rnacentral:lncRNA from 1 species